rnacentral:snRNA from 1 species
UGCCCAGUGCUCUGAAUGU